rnacentral:rRNA from 1 species
AUGGCAGAUUCACCUGCUACAUUACAAUACCUCGCUCCUUAUACGGGAGCAGCCCUGGCUGAGUAUUUUAUGUACCACGAACGACAUACUUUAAUAAUUUAUGAUGAUCUCUCCAAACAGGCACACGCUUAUUGCCAAAUGUCCCUUCUAUUAAGAAGACCACCCGGCCGUGAGGCUUAUCCAGGGGAUGUUUUUAUUUGCAUUCACGCCUUUUAG